GCUUAUGGCCAUACCACCCUGUCUGCGCCUCAUCUCAUUUGAUGUCGGAAACUAAGCAGGGUCAUGCCUGGCUAGUACUUGGAUGGGAGACUGACUGGGAAUACCAGGUGCUGUAAGCU
rnacentral:rRNA from 1 species